rnacentral:rRNA from 1 species
UACGUAGGGUGCAAGCGUUGUCCGGAAUUAUUGGGCGUAAAGAGCUCGUAGGCGGUCUGUCACGUCGGCUGUGAAAACCCGAGGCUCAACCUCGGGCCUGCAGUCGAUACGGGCAAACUAGAGUACUGCAGGGGAGACUGGAAUUCCUGGUGUAGCGGUGAAAUGCGCAGAUAUCAGGAGGAACACCGGUGGCGAAGGCGGGUCUCUGGGCAGUAACUGACGCUGGAGGAGCGAAAAGCGUGGGGGAGCGAAACAGG